rnacentral:lncRNA from 1 species
CUAGAACUGGAAAUGGGUAGAAGGAAGAAAAAAAAUGGCAAGAAGAACCGAGAGAAAGAAAGGAGAAGAGGAGGAGAAGAAUGAAGAAAAAGCGAAGAAGAUGAAAGAGAAAGGAAAUAUGAAACACUAGGAAACUAGAAGCUGGGAACUAUUCCAUCUUUUCUCCAAUUUAAAGUCCUGUUUAGCUGUAAUAUAAGGUAAGUUAAGAACUUUAAUUUGGUUGAAAUUUUCUCUUUUGAUCUAAAGUUUUAGUGGAGUUGGGAAUAGUAAUAAAGAAAAGCAUGACAUUGAAGAGUGAUGGAAACUAAAGAGCGGUAUGUGUUUGUGAAAUUGUCAUAGAGAAAUUAGUCAUUAUGGGAGUUUAGUGUAGCUUGCUUAUUUGCAAUUACCAUUUAAUUAAAUGAACUUGUGAUUAAAGAACCAGAAAUUAAAAUGGAAAAUUGGGCAUUUAUACGUAUAGUGGCAAACAUGUAUGUAAGAAACAAGGAAAGGAAAUUGAAUAGGUAGAAAGACAAUUGAAAAUUCUAUACGUAUAAAAGUAAAAAGAUGUUGGGUUCUUGCUUCAGCCAACCAAACUGGAAAAGGAAAGAAAUGUUUUGUAUCAUUUUUUUAAUACUUUGGAAUGGGAAAUUGUAUAUAUAUUGGCAUAUGGAUAUGUGUGCUCGCUUAACUAAACUGGAAAGAUAAAAAGGAAUGAGAAAUAGUUGAGACUUUGAGGUUUGCUAUUCAUGUAUUUGUUAGGAAAUUGGAUUCAAUAGUUAGUAAUUCGAAUAAAUAAUUAAUUUUUCAGGAGAUAACAAAAUUGGGAAUGCUUGUUGGCGGAAUUAAUCUUUGUUCAGUACACAGUCCUGUGAGUGGAUAUGAAAACUUAUUUUCAGAGAUUAGUAUUUAUUAUGAUUUCAUACAAUUGAUUUUGACAGCAUGAUUUUUAGAAUGAAGUGGAUUUAUAAUCAGAUAUUUUUAAAAUUUAAUUUAAUUCAAUUAAAUCAUUUGAUUAGCAUGUUAUUUGAAUAUAACUGUUUUAGCAUAGCUAAAGUUAUUUUUAAAACCACCAAAAAGUACCAGGUGAUUUUACCCCGGUCUGCACUAGUGUGAACAUGUUUCCAUAGUGUAUGAUCAGUUAUGGUGAUUUUAUCCGUCUGUACUUUUGUGAAUGUGUUUUCAUAAUGUAUGAUCAAAUUAUCAGAGGUCUUUGGGGCCCACUCUUGUACACAUAUAGGCUUUGGGCUGUGUACUAGAGUGAUUAGCCUUUGGGGCAACUCUGCGUACAUAUGAACAGAUUAUCAGAUUAUCAGAUUUGAAUGGCUUUGCCUAGUACAUCGAGAUUACUUCAUUGGGUACCUUUUUGGUGUGAUUUUCAGUAUCUCUAUAGCUUAUCAGAUUUUAGAUUAUAGAAUUCAGUCUAUUCAGUUCUCAGAAUAAAGCUUCCAGCUUAUAGUAUUGAACAUCAAUAUUUCACAGUUUUUCAUAGAUGUCAAAUUAUUUAUAUUCGUUAUAUUUUACAGUUAAUGAACUAAUAUAAAGAACAAAUAAUGUUAUGAUCCAAUCAUGUUUUAAUUUUAAAACUAUUGCUAGUAUUCAGAAUUUCUCAAAGUUUUAAUAGAAUAAGAAUUUUCAAAAAAUAUGCAUAAAUAAGAAAAGUUUACUUAUGUAAAUUAUCCACUCGCUGAACUUUAAACUCAUAUAUUUUUUUCACAUUUUUCUUUUCCAGAUAGAUAGUAGCUGAAUUGAGUAGUUUUGGAGCUUGUCGAACCGUCGAAUUGAGUCACGCAUCAUGGGUUGUAUAACAUAUUUUAUCAGAUUAUACAUCGUGUUCUUUUGGGAUACACGUAGGUUAAAUCAGAAAAGUUCAUCAUGGGCUCAUUAGAUAUUUGGUAUCUUUAGUGUAUUUGAGGAUUGUUGGUUGUAAGGCAAGUAAACGUUGACUUUUCAGCAUUUUAUUUGAAUAGUUUGUAUUUUAAAGGACUGUCG